CCUUACGGCUCAGUAACACGUGGAUAACCUGCCCUUGGGUCCGGCAUAACCCCGGGAAACUGGGGAUAAUUCCGGAUAACGCACAUAUGCUGGAAUGCUUUAUGCGUAAAAUGGAUUCGUCCGCCCAAGGAUGGGUCUGCGGCCUAUCAGGUAGUAGUGGGUGUAAUGCACCUACUAGCCAACAACGGGUACGGGUUGUGAGAGCAAGAGCCCGGAGAUGGAUUCUGAGACAUGAAUCCAGGCCCUACGGGGCGCAGCAGGCGCGAAAACUUUACAAUGCGGGAAACCGUGAUAAGGGGACACCGAGUGCUAGCAUCAUAUGCUGGCUGUCCAGGUGUGUAAAAUACACCUGUUAGCAAGGGCCGGGCAAGACCGGUGCCAGCCGCCGCGGUAACACCGGCGGCCCGAGUGGUGAUCGUGAUUAUUGGGUCUAAAGGGUCCGUAGCCGGUUUGGUCAGUCCUCCGGGAAAUCUGACAGCUCAACUGUUAGGCUUUCGGGGGAUACUGCCAGACUUGGAACUGGGAGAGGUAAGAGGUACUACAGGGGUAGGAGUGAAAUCUUGUAAUCCCUGUGGGACCACCUGUGGCGAAGGCGUCUUACCAGAACGGGUUCGACGGUGAGGGACGAAAGCUGGGGGCACGAACCGGAUUAGAUACCCGGGUAGUCCCAGCCGUAAACGAUGCUCGCUAGGUGUCAGGCAUGGCGCGACCGUGUCUGGUGCCGCAGGGAAGCCGUGAAGCGAGCCACCUGGGAAGUACGGCCGCAAGGCUGAAACUUAAAGGAAUUGGCGGGGGAGCAC
rnacentral:rRNA from 1 species